UGCCAGAAGGUCCGAUUUGUAAUGG
rnacentral:piRNA from 1 species